CGUGGGAGGCCCGAAGAGCAGCGAGCGAAUAAACACACUGUUCGCACACAGACCGCCGCGCCUGGGUCCUCCUUCCCUACACCCCCCACGGUCUGCCAACACAGACCGUGACAGAAUGAUCCCGCCAAGCAUGGACCCAGCGGUCUCUGAGGAGAGGCUCAGGAGGGAGGAUUUGGAAUCCAGCUGCUGGUUUACAUGAUCCGCUUCUUCCCAGUUUCCCAUGUUGUCCAGCUCAGUCACAGUGGUGUCAAUCAGUGCCCCGCCCUCACUCCAGACUUUCUGAGGACGGCAAAUGGCUUUCAGACUCACCCACCCGCCCAGACCGCUCUGGAUGAGUUUACAGAAAGCCACAGCCCCCCAAGAAUCUACAGUCACAUUAGUAUACAAGCAGAGUUUCAAGGAGUUGGGAGUCAAGGAACAGCGGGUCCUCCGAGGUAUUGACAUGGCACGGGGUCUGUACUUCCUGCUGACACCUGUAGAUCCGUCAGUUCUUCGUGAAGUUAACUGUCUCCUCUUGGGAGCAAUUUCAAUGCCUUCAUGUAUCCUCAAAACACAGGAGGAGCGUGGGAGGCCCGAAGAGCAGCGAGCGAAUAAACACACUGUUCGCACACAGACCGCCGCGCCUGGGUCCUCCUUCCCUACACCCCCCACGGUCUGCCAACACAGACCGUGACAGAAUGAUCCCGCCAAGCAUGGACCCAGCGGUCUCUGAGGAGAGGCUCAGGAGGGAGGAUUUGGAAUCCAGCUGCUGGUUUACAUGAUCCGCUUCUUCCCAGUUUCCCAUGUUGUCCAGCUCAGUCACAGUGGUGUCAAUCAGUGCCCCGCCCUCACUCCAGACUUUCUGAGGACGGCAAAUGGCUUUCAGACUCACCCACCCGCCCAGACCGCUCUGGAUGAGUUUACAGAAAGCCACAGCCCCCCAAGAAUCUACAGUCACAUUAGUAUACAAGCAGAGUUUCAAGGAGUUGGGAGUCAAGGAACAGCGGGUCCUCCGAGGUAUUGACAUGGCACGGGGUCUGUACUUCCUGCUGACACCUGUAGAUCCGUCAGUUCUUCGUGAAGUUAACUGUCUCCUCUUGGGAGCAAUUUCAAUGCCUUCAUGUAUCCUCAAAACACAGGAGGAGCGUGGGAGGCCCGAAGAGCAGCGAGCGAAUAAACACACCGUUCGCACACAGACCGCCGCGCCUGGGUCCUCCUUCCCUACACCCCCCACGGUCUGCCAACACAGACCGUGACAGAAUGAUCCCGCCAAGCAUGGACCCAGCGGUCUCUGAGGAGAGGCUCAGGAGGGAGGAUUUGGAAUCCAGCUGCUGGUUUACAUGAUCCGCUUCUUCCCAGUUUCCCAUGUUGUCCAGCUCAGUCACAGUGGUGUCAAUCAGUGCCCCGCCCUCACUCCAGACUUUCUGAGGACGGCAAAUGGCUUUCAGACUCACCCACCCGCCCAGACCGCUCUGGAUGAGUUUACAGAAAGCCACAGCCCCCCAAGAAUCUACAGUCACAUUAGUAUACAAGCAGAGUUUCAAGGAGUUGGGAGUCAAGGAACAGCGGGUCCUCCGAGGUAUUGACAUGGCACGGGGUCUGUACUUCCUGCUGACACCUGUAGAUCCGUCAGUUCUUCGUGAAGUUAACUGUCUCCUCUUGGGAGCAAUUUCAAUGCCUUCAUGUAUCCUCAAAACACAGGAGGAGCGUGGGAGGCCCGAAGAGCAGCGAGCGGAUAAACACACUGUUCGCACACAGACCGCCGCGCCUGGGUCCUCCUUCCCUACACCCCCCACGGUCUGCCAACACAGACCGUGACAGAAUGAUCCCGCCAAGCAUGGACCCAGCGGUCUCUGAGGAGAGGCUCAGGAGGGAGGAUUUGGAAUCCAGCUGCUGGUUUACAUGAUCCGCUUCUUCCCAGUUUCCCAUGUUGUCCAGCUCAGUCACAGUGGUGUCAAUCAGUGCCCCGCCCUCACUCCAGACUUUCUGAGGACGGCAAAUGGCUUUCAGACUCACCCACCCGCCCAGACCGCUCUGGAUGAGUUUACAGAAAGCCACAGCCCCCCAAGAAUCUACAGUCACAUUAGUAUACAAGCAGAGUUUCAAGGAGUUGGGAGUCAAGGAACAGCGGGUCCUCCGAGGUAUUGACAUGGCACGGGGUCUGUACUUCCUGCUGACACCUGUAGAUCCGUCAGUUCUUCGUGAAGUUAACUGUCUCCUCUUGGGAGCAAUUUCAAUGCCUUCAUGUAUCCUCAAAACACAGGAGGAGCGUGGGAGGCCCGAAGAGCAGCGAGCGGAUAAACACACUGUUCGCACACAGACCGCCGCGCCUGGGUCCUCCUUCCCUACACCCCCCACGGUCUGCCAACACAGACCGUGACAGAAUGAUCCCGCCAAGCAUGGACCCAGCGGUCUCUGAGGAGAGGCUCAGGAGGGAGGUAAUGGACAAGGUUUAUAAACUGUGUGAAUUAUGGUGGGAGAAGUCCGGGGAAGUGUUGCGUCGCGCCGUGGAGAGGCGGCUGCAGGAGACGCUUUUUAAGAUUCCCUGGUUGGUGGACUCCCUUAAUUCAGUUGUCCUGGACUUUCUUCUUUCUACCCUCCACCUCCACUCUCCUACUCAGGCUGCUCACCACCCCGGACAGUUGGUGAAUUCACAGCCUGACUCGCCGGCCCCGACGUCUACCCGGAAACGACGUUCCUCACUGCACUGUUCGCACACAGACCGCCGCGCCUGGGUCCUCCUUCCCUACACCCCCCACGGUCUGCCAACACAGGCCGUGACAGGCUCUUUAAGGGAGCACUGAUAACAACCCAGGUGGUACCUGAGGACUUGGCAUUCAUGUUUUCCCCCCUCCAAAAAAGCCAAAAUUUGGUUCAUCUGACCACAGAACAGUUUUGCACUUUUCCAUUAGUCCAUUUUAAAUGAGAGAAGAUGGUAACAUUGAUCGAUCAUGUUCACAUAUGGCUUCUUCUUUGCAUAAUGGAGCUUUAACCUGGAUGGCACAGUGAACUGUGUUCACAUACAGUGAUUCCUAGAAGUGUCCAAGCCCACGUAGUGAUUGCCUUGACAGAAUUAUGUCUUCCUUUUUUAUUUAAUGCACUGCUCCCUGAGGGCCUGACUAUCACAGGCAUGUAGAUGAUGAGAUGUUCUACGUCUUUACAGUUUUGCUCCAGCUGUUUCUUUUUAGUGUUACUUACUUUUCCAGACUUUUGUUCAUUCGUCCCAGUUUCUUUUGAGAUCUG